rnacentral:rRNA from 1 species
UGCCAGCCGCCGCGGUAAUACGGAGGGUGCAAGCGUUAAUCGGAAUUACUGGGCGUAAAGCGCGUGUAGGCGGCUUUGCAAGUCGGGUGUGAAAUCCCUCGGCCCAACCGAGGAACUGCGCCCGAUACUGGUAGUCUUGAGGACAGGAGGGGAGCGUGGAAUUCCUGGUGGAGCGGUGAAAUGCGUUGAUAUCAGGAGGAACACCGGCGGCGAAAGCGGCUUUCUGGAGCUCUUCUGACGCUGAGGAACGAAAGCUAGGGGAGCGAACAGGAUUAGAUA